UUGGGUUGCUCAGUGAGCACAGAAUUGGAACAAAGCAAACUGGAAGAUCCUAGUUGGUCAUGCUUUCAAGCUGCUCUAAAUUAAGAUGUGAUGAUAAAAGCCUCUGAGUUAAGUCAGUGUCUGCUUCAUGCUAAGGCCCAUGCUAAAACCUGUGUCUGUCCUCCACCUCCAAAUAAAGUCUCUUAAGAUAUAGGUGCUCGUUUUUAAAAAGACAUCACAUAAAGAAAAGAAAAAGAUCAGUGAUUUUACUAGCAUGAGUG
rnacentral:lncRNA from 1 species